AUCUCUUCUUCUGUUAAUUCCUGUCCUUCUUUCAACAAUUUGUAGCUGUCAAUUACAGAAAGCCCCCUAUUCAGCUUCCCUCCAGGCACAUUGUAGUCCAACAUCUGCAACAAAUAGAGCAUAUGCCAGAGUCAGUAAACCAAAAUAAAGCUCCAUAAAUUCAUUAAUGCAAGCACAGAGAACUCAGAGGAAGGUUUUCUGAUAUUAACCAUAUUGAGAGGAAAAAUAUAGAAAACAAGUUUAACGGUUAAGGAUGUCUCAGUUUAUAUCGCUGACUAUUAACCUCAUAACAAUUUGUGGAAGGAUAAGUUAUGAGUUAGAAGCGCUAAAGAACAAAAAGAAACUACCUUGUGUUGGACAGAAGUCAAGAAUACUGAUUAUGCACGGCAUAAUGCAUCAUCCUGAAAUCUUCAGGGCUACUAUUUUAUGCUAAUUCAAAACCAUACUCAAGUGGAAUUGGUUGCAAAGGAUUACCGCUGUUUUCAGUUCCCUUAACUACUAUAUUUAAAACCAGCAGAUCCUCGAUCCAUAUAUAACAAUCGGAUGUCUUAAAGCCAUUGUAAAUGCCAAGAAGUUAAAGGAUAACAAAUAGUCCUGAUAAAAUUGCACAAACCAAGCAAAUUGUAAAUAAACCAAGCAAUAAAACUCUCCAGAUUCCAGAGUCAACUAUUAUCCAUAUUGGCAAAUGUGUCCUUUAUAGGGAAUUUGCUUGUUUAGGCAUAAUUUCCAAAAUUUCCAAAAGGAUCAGUUCUUAUUCACUUCUUCAACUUACCUAUCUAACAAUGGGUCUUACAAAUUUAUCUCAAAAAUCACCUUCUCACCUGUGUAAUUUUCAUGUUUGUAGUUCAGCCAACUCAACUCAACUUAAUUAAGC
rnacentral:misc_RNA from 1 species